ensembl:piRNA 21ur-6136 ncRNA
UGAUUUUAUUUUCAAAAAUGA